rnacentral:rRNA from 1 species
ACUGACCGAUAGUGAACCAGUACCGUGAGGGAAAGGCGAAAAGAACCCCGGCGAGGGGAGUGAAAAAGAACCUGAAACCGUGUACGUACAAGCAGUGGGAGCCUCUUUUAUGGGGUGACUGCGUACCUUUUGUAUAAUGGGUCAGCGACUUAUAUUCUGUAGCAAGGUUAACCGUAUAGGGGAGCCGAAGGGAAACCGAGUCUUAACUGGGCGUUAAGUUGCAGGGUAUAGACCCGAAACCCGGUGAUCUAGCCAUGGGCAGGUUGAAGGUUGGGUAACACUAACUGGAGGACCGAACCGACUAAUGUUGAAAAAUUAGCGGAUGACUUGUGGCUGGGGGUGAAAGGCCAAUCAAACCGGGAGAUAGCUGGUUCUCCCCGAAAGCUAUUUAGGUAGCGCCUCGUGAAUUCAUCUCCGGGGGUAGAGCACUGUUUCGGCAAGGGGGUCAUCCCGACUUACCAACCCGAUGCAAACUGCGAAUACCGGAGAAUGUUAUCACGGGAGACACACGGCGGGUGCUAACGUCCGUCGUGAAGAGGGAAACAACCCAGACCGCCAGCUAAGGUCCCAAAGUCAUGGUUAAGUGGGAAACGAUGUGGGAAGGCCCAGACAGCCAGGAUGUUGGCUUAGAAGCAGCCAUCAUUUAAAGAAAGCGUAAUAGCUCACUGGUCGAGUCGGCCUGCGCGGAAGAUGUAACGGGGCUAAACCAUGCACCGAAGCUGCGGCAGCGACACUAUGUGUUGUUGGGUA